rnacentral:rRNA from 1 species
CAGCCGCCGCGGUAAUACGGAGGGGGCUAGCGUUGUUCGGAAUUACUGGGCGUAAAGCGUACGUAGGCGGCUUGGUAAGUUAGAGGUGAAAGCCUGGAGCUCAACUCCAGAAUUGCCUUUAAGACUGCCGAGCUAGCAGGUGAGAGAGGUAAGUGGAAUUCCGAGUGUAGAGGUGAAAUUCGUAGAUAUUCGGAAGAACACCAGUGGCGAAGGCGGCUUACUGGCUCAUACUGGACGCUCAUGCACGAAAGCGUGGGGAGCAAACAGGAUUAGAUACCCGUGUAGUCCCUGUCUCUUAUAC